rnacentral:rRNA from 1 species
CUCAGGAUGAACGCUAGCGAUAGGCCUAACACAUGCAAGUCGAGGGGCAUCACAUGAGGUAGCAAUACCGAUGGUGGCGACCGGCGCACGGGUGAGUAACACGUAUGCAACCUGCCUUCAACAAGGGCAUAACCCGUUGAAAGACGGACUAAUCCCUAUGACACAGGGGUCCCGCAUGGGGAUAUUUGUUAAAGAUUAAUCGGUUGGAGAUGGGCAUGCGUUCCAUUAGCUUGUUGGCGGGGUAACGGCCCACCAAGGCAACGAUGGAUAGGGGAACUGAGAGGUUUAUCCCCCACACUGGUACUGAGACACGGACCAGACUCCUACGGGAGGCAGCAGUGAGGAAUAUUGGUCAAUGGGCGCAAGCCUGAACCAGCCACGUCCGCGUGAAGGAAGACGGCCCUACGGGUUGUAAACUUCUUUGCAAGGGAAUAAAGUUGGCCACGCGUGGCCUUUUGCAUGUACCUUGCGAAUAAGGAUCGGCUAACUCCGUGCCAGCAGCCGC